CUGAGGGUGAGUUGGCUGCAGCAUCUGCUACCCUGUUGAUCACCAGCAUUGAUUAGACUGACCUGGCUGGCCAGGCAAGUGUCCCCUUCCUCCCUUACAAUGUGACUCCUGUGUGCUCGGUCUAAGAGGACAAGCUCAGACCAAACAGAGGAGGAGCGAUCUUUAGGCACACCAGUAGCUGUGUUCUAAACGAGCUUUUCAAAAAAGCCCAGCCUGCAAUGUUUCAGACAGUGUAGGACUCCUGACUUUUUUAAACAUCAAGAAGAGUUUCUUU
rnacentral:snRNA from 1 species